AGCAUCUAGUAUAUAUAUAUAUUAUCAUGAGAAUUAGAGUGCCACAAGGAUUCCCUAAAGAUCAAUUUUACGUUGUAUUGAUUUUAGGAACAAUCACCGGUUUAUAUAAUUGGAAAGGCCUGUUGCAGGAACAUUUGAAAGAACAAUUUGAGAGAGAAUUCGCGAAAAAGGAAAAGUCAAAUGAGCUUAUCAGCAAAAGCCAAGAAUUUGUUAAUUCAAAAGUUUAGCAAAUUUGGACUUGUAGUAAUCGGUGGAGCCUUGCUUGUAACAUGUUUUAGGAUUUAUAUACGGCCAUGGUAUAUGAAAAAUAAAAGUGACCGAGCAGAAGAACAUGCAAAUAUUAUUUACGAGCUUCGCAAGAAAAGAACCUUAGAGCAAAAACAAAAUGAAAUUUGAGAUCAAGACAAUAUUGUAUAUUACUAUAUUGUUAUUUAUAUGACUUUUUAUUAGUAUACUUAUUUAAAUAAACAAAAGAUGUAAA